rnacentral:rRNA from 1 species
AUGGCCGCCCCCGACCCGACCUGGAUGAUGCUCGAUCGUUUCGUCUUCCGCAGGGAUGACGCCGAGUCCUUCCUUGACGAGGACGCCGCCCCCUUCACGAUUGAAGGCGACAUCUCACCGGACGGCAUGUUCUCCAUCUCCUUCCGCAUCGCCAAGCCUCCGGUAACCUCCCGCAUGUACCUCAAAUGGAAGUGCGGCCCUAAGGCAUGCCCUGGGUGCAUUCCCGUGGCAGCGCACCGUGGUGUUCUUCUACUCAGGUUCACCCCUGAGCCGGGGAAGCUCGGCUUUGUGGAGCACUUCUUCAUCUGCAGAAGUCGGUAUGACCCGCUUGACAGCUCGCCCUUUGCACUAGAGCGAAUUCCACUCUGCGCCACGAUAUGGCAUGACGAGGACGGGACAGAGAUACCUAUGCGACGGCUGUUUGGGGAUGACACCGUUGGCGUGUUGUCCCGUGAUGAAGAUUUUGCCAUAGCGCAGCUCGUCCUACGCAGGCCCUUGGUGAAGGCUGAUAAGAUGGAAGCGGAUCUGUGCGUGCUCCGAUCCAAGUCAAAUACCGACUAUACAUGGGAGAUUGAGGAGGGGCUUCCUAUCCUUUACGAAGCGGAUGAAAUCUGUGACUUGGAAGCUUGGGGUACCCAUAGAGUCAUCCCCUUCAACGAAUACUUAUGCUGGGUUAACUAUGGUAUAGGAGGUGUCUUAUUCUGCGAGGUAUUCGAAGAAAGGCCCAAGAUUUCUUACCUGAGGCUGCCCAUACAUAACCGCCGCCUAAGGCAACGCCCUGUACUUGACAGAAAGUGCAGUGUGUGCUUGACGAAAGGCUACUUUGGCGCCCAUGAGCUAACGUUUGUUGAUGUUGAUCGCGAGGAUGGUUACCUUGUCGGCCCACUGAGCCCUGAAACUGGUUUUACUAUUGCUUACCAUGUUCUAAGGAAAACAGGCUAUAGUGGCAUGAAGUGGGAUCUGGUCUUUUUCCUCACAUCUGCUGAAUUGUGGGAUCUCAAUAAAUCUCUGCCACGCGAAGUUCUGACGUUUCCACAUGUAAGCAUGGAUGAGCCUAAUGUGGUACACUUUCUAUUGUCUCAGCCAGUGUCACAUCAACUUGUCAAGGUUUCAGUGGUUUCCAUCGACAUGAUUAGACGCAAAGUGCUCGCAGUAGUUCCAUAUAUUGAAGAGAAUGAUAUCCAAGGCAAAGACCCCCAGAUGGUCUCGCAAGCGUCCAGUUAUCUCCAGUCAUUCCUUCCCUCCGAACUUCCGAAGUUCGUUGAUCCCGCCUGGGACAUAUAUUUAUUUGUAAUUCCCUCUUGA